CCUACGGGAGGCAGCAGUGAGGAAUCUUGCUCAAUGGACGGAAGUCUGACGCAGCCACGCCGCGUGCAUGAAGACGGUUUUCUGAGCUGAAAACUGUUUUUGUACAAGGGUAAACCUGCUUACGUGACUUUAGCCGCAUGUACUGUACCUAACCGGAUCGGCUAACUUAGUGCCAGCCGCCGCGGUAAUACGGAGGAUGCAAGCGUUAUCCGGAUUUAUUGGGUUUAAAGGGUGCGUAGGCGGAUUGAUAAGUUAGAGGUGAAAUGUCCGCGCUUAACUCGGGAACUGCCUCUGAUACUGUUGAACUAGAGUGUAGAAGCGGUGAGCGGAAUGUAUGGUGUAGCGGUGAAAUGCGUAGAGAU
rnacentral:rRNA from 1 species